rnacentral:rRNA from 17 species
ACUUAAAUUGAAGAGUUUGAUCAUGGCUCAGAUUGAACGCUGGCGGCAGGCCUAACACAUGCAAGUCGAACGGUAGCACAGAGAGCUUGCUCUCGGGUGACGAGUGGCGGACGGGUGAGUAAUGUCUGGGAAACUGCCUGAUGGAGGGGGAUAACUACUGGAAACGGUGGCUAAUACCGCAUAACGUCGCAAGACCAAAGAGGGGGACCUUCGGGCCUCUUGCCAUCAGAUGUGCCCAGAUGGGAUUAGCUGG